rnacentral:rRNA from 1 species
GAUGAACGCUGGCGGCGUGCCUAAUACAUGCAAGUCGAGCGAACAGACGAGGAGCUUGCUCCUCUGACGUUAGCGGCGGACGGGUGAGUAACACGUGGAUAACCUACCUAUAAGACUGGGAUAACUUCGGGAAACCGGAGCUAAUACCGGAUAAUAUAUUGAACCGCAUGGUUCAAUAGUGAAAGACGGUUUUGCUGUCACUUAUAGAUGGAUCCGCGCCGCAUUAGCUAGUUGGUAAGGUAACGGCUUACCAAGGCAACGAUGCGUAGCCGACCUGAGAGGGUGAUAGGCCACACUGGAACUGAGACACGGUCCAGACUCCUACGGGAGGCAGCAGUAGGGAAUCUUCCGCAAUGGGCGAAAGCCUGACGGAGCAACGCCGCGUGAGUGAUGAAGGUCUUCGGAUCGUAAAACUCUGUUAUUAGGGAAGAACAAAUGUGUAAGUAACUAUGCACGUCUUGACGGUACCUAAUCAGAAAGCCACGGCUAACUACGCG